GUGUGCUCGCUUCACACAUAUACUAAAAUUGGCAUGAUGCAGAGAAGAUUAGCAUGGCGCCUACGCAAGGAUGACAUGCCAAUUCGUGAAGCGUCUCAUGUCUGU